AGAACUAGCACUGGUGAUCCACCAGCAUCAGAAUCUACACCAUUGCUUUCUUCCAGUCUGCGAUCUGUAUCUUCAGUGUCAUCUCUGAGGUCAUCAUUAGCAUCAUCAGAAGUGAUACAUAUAGGCACAGGAGCAUCUCGAUCACCUUCAGUUUCUCGUCCUCAAUCUAUCUCUAGCUCUCGUAACCAGCAUUCACUUUGGUCUUACCAGUCACCACAUCUUGCUAUAAGCCGGAGUUCACUGGACCUUCAAAAUGCAUCUUCUCAAAGAUCUCGUGCAGCUUACUUAAUUUCA
rnacentral:misc_RNA from 1 species